CUACGGGGUGCAGCAGUGGGGAAUAUUGCGCAAUGGGGGAAACCCUGACGCAGUGACGCCGUGUGAGUGAUGAAGGUUUUCGGAUCGUAAAGCUCUGUCAGACGGGAAGAAUAAGAACAGUAAAAAAUAUUGCUGUUUGAUGACGGUACCGUCAGAGGAAGCACCGGCUAACUCCGUGCCAGCAGCCGCGGUAAUACGGAGGGUGCAAACGGUGUUCGGAAUUACUGGGCGUAAAGCGCAUGUAGGCGGAUAUGUAGGUCAGAUGUGAAAUCCCUUGGCUCAACCAAGGAAGUGCAUCUGAAACCCCAUAUCUUGAGUACGAGAGAGGGAAGUGGAAUUCCCAGUGUAGAGGUGAAAUUCAUAGAUAUUGGGAAGAACACCGGUGGCGAAGGCGGCUUUCUGGCUCGUAACUGACGCUGAGAUGCGAAAGCGUGGGGAGCAAACAGGAUUAGAUACCCCAGUAGUC
rnacentral:rRNA from 1 species